UACGUAGGUGGCAAGCGUUAUCCGGAUUUACUGGGUGUAAAGGGCGUGUAGGCGGGGACGCAAGUCAGAUGUGAAAACCACGGGCUCAACCUGUGGCCUGCAUUUGAAACUGUGUUUCUUGAGUACUGGAGAGGCAGACGGAAUUCCUAGUGUAGCGGUGAAAUGCGUAGAUAUUAGGAGGAACACCAGUGGCGAAGGCGGUCUGCUGGACAGCAACUGACGCUGAGGCGCGAAAGCAUGGGGAGCAAACAGG
rnacentral:rRNA from 1 species